UACGUAGGGUGCGAGCGUUGUCCGGAAUUACUGGGCGUAAAGAGCUCGUAGGUGGUUUGUCGCGUUGUUCGUGAAAAACUCACAGCUUAACUGUGGGCGUGCGGGCGAUACGGGCAGACUGGAGUACUGCAGGGGAGACUGGAAUUCCUGGUGUAGCGGUGGAAUGCGCAGAUAUCUGGAGGAACACCGGUGGCGAAGGCGGCAUCCUGGACCGGCAUUGACGCUGAGGCGCGAAAGCCAGGGGAGCAAAGCGGG
rnacentral:rRNA from 1 species